rnacentral:rRNA from 1 species
CUACGGGGCGCACCAGUGAGGAAUAUUGCACAAUGGGGGGAACCCUGCUGCAGCAACGCCGCGUGGAGGAUGACGCAUUUCGGUGUGUAAACUCCUUUUAUAUGUCAAGAAAAUGACGGUAGCAUAUGAAUAAGCACCGGCUAACUCCGUGCCAGCAGCCGCGGUAAUACGGAGGGUGCAAGCGUUACUCGGAAUCACUGGGCGUACAGUACGCGUAGGCGGGUUGGAAAGUCAGGUGUGAAAUCCUACAGCUUAACUGUAGAACUGCACUUGAAACUUCUAAUCUAGAGUAUGGGAGGGGGAGAUGGAAUUAGUGGUGUAGGGGUAAAAUCCGUAGAUAUCACUAGGAAUACCUAAAGCGAAGGCGAUCUCCUGGAACAUUACUGACGCUAAGGCGUGAAAGCGUGGGGAGCAAACAGGAUUAGAUACCCGAGUAGUC